AAUAGCCGAAAGGCUGAAACUGGCAACUUGGAAGAAUGUAUUAUGAACAAUUUUAUAUAAAGUUUUAAGUAAAAAAAAAAAGAUAAUGACAACUAUUUACUUAUAAGUCUUGACCAAAUUACGUGCCAGCAGUCGCGGUAACACGCAGAAGACAAGUGUUAUUCAUCUUUAUUGGGUUUAAAGGGUACCUAGACGUGAUAUUAAGCCGUAGUAGGAACUAAUAUUAUAGAGUUUAAAAUAAGAAAGCAGAACUGUUAUGAAGAGUGAUAAAAUAUUAUGAAACUUAAAGGACGGGUAACGGCGUAGGCAACUUUCUAUAUAUAACUGACGUUGAGGGACGAAGCUCUAGGUAGCAAGAAGGAUUAGAUACCCUAGUAGUCUAGAGAGACAAUAAUGAAUGCCAUAAAUAAAAAUAAUUUAUAAAUGAAAGUGUAAGCAUUCCACCUUGAGAUUAAAGCGGCAACGCCCAAAAUGAAAUCAUUAGACCGUUUAUGAGACCAGUAGUGAAGUAUGUUAUUUAAUUCGAUGAUCCGCGAAUAACCUUACCAUAUUUUGAAUACUAUUUAAUUAGUACAAGCGUUGCAUGGCUGUUUUUAGUUAAUGUCGUGAGGUUUGACAAACAUCUAUAAUUAACGAAAACCCUAGUUUUAAUUAUUUAUACAUAUAGCAGUAAUCCGCCGAAAUGGAUAAAAUAACAGGGAUUAAGACAAGUCAUUAUGACCUUAAUUACGUUCACUAUAGACGUGCCAUAUACGCCUGUACAAAAGGAUGCAAUAUUGG
rnacentral:rRNA from 1 species